rnacentral:rRNA from 1 species
UACGUAGGGUGCGAGCGUUUAUCGGAAUUACUGGGCGUAAAGCGUGCGCAGGCGGUUCGUUGUGUCGGUGGUGAAAUCCCCGGGCUUAACCUGGGAAUGGCCAUGGAAACUGGCGAACUGGAGUGCGGCAGAGGGGGGUGGAAUUCCGCGUGUAGCAGUGAAAUGCGUAGAGAUGCGGAGGAACACCGAUGGCGAAGGCAGCCCCCUGGGCUAGCACUGACGCUCAGGCACGAAAGCGUGGGGAGCAAACAGG